GACGUAGGGGGCAAGCGUUGUUCGGAAUCAUUGGGCGUAAAGCGCUCGUAGGCGGUCGGUUAUGUCGGAUGUGAAAAUCCAGGGCUCAACCCUGGACCUGCAUUCGAAACUGAUCGACUUGAGUCCAGAAGAGGCAAGUGGAAUUCCUGGUGUAGCGGUGAAAUGCGCAGAUAUCAGGAAGAACACCAGUGGCGAAGGCGGCUUGCUGGGAUGUGACUGACGCUGAGGAGCGAAAGCUAGGGGAGCAAACAGG
rnacentral:rRNA from 1 species